rnacentral:lncRNA from 1 species
GAGAUUUUAUACACUUCAAGAACAGCAAGUUAUAGAAUCACAGAUCCAUGGCUUGGAUUUGGACUUCUCUAGCCUUUGUUGCACUUAUCUUUCUGCUCCGAUGGUUAAGCACCGAGAAUAAGAGACUACCGCCUGGUCCAAGAGGGUUUCCAAUUUUUGGAAGUCUUCAUUUGUUAGGGAAGUUCCCUCAUCGAGCUCUUCAUCAGCUUGCUCAAAGAUAUGGCCCCAUCAUGCAUUUGCGGCUAGGCCUGGUGUCGACCAUUGUUGUCUCUUCGCCUGAAGCUGCCGAGUUAUUUCUCAAGACCCAUGACCUAGUUUUUGCUGGCAGACCACCUCACGAGUCUGCAAGGUACAUCUCUUAUGGACAAAAAGGCAUGGCUUUUGCACAAUACGGUUCGUAUUGGCGCAGCAUGCGUAAGAUGUGCACAGUGGAGUUGCUUAGUAGCUUGAAAAUUACAUCUUUCAAGGCAAUGAGAAUGGAGGAGCUUGAUCUGUUGAUUAAGUACAUUCAAGAAGCUUCACAGGAACGUGUUGCUGUCGAUCUGAGUGCCAAGGUUUCGUCCCUCAGUGCUGACAUGACCUGUAGAAUGGUGUUUGGGAAGAAAUAUUUAGAUGAGGAUCUUGAUGAGAGGGGAUUCCAAUCUGUGAUGCAAGAGGUCAUGCAUUUAUCAGCAGCUCCACACUUGGGAGAUUACAUUCCUCAAAUCGCAGCUCUUGAUCUCCAGGGACUGACAAGACGCAUGAAGGCUAUUUCCAAAGUGUUAGAUGUCUUUCUUGACAAGAUUAUUGACGAGCAUGUACACUACCAGGAGAAGGGCAAAAACAAGGACUUUGUUGACGUCAUGCUAAGUUUCAUGAAAUCCGAAGAAAACGAGUACCUCGUCGAUCAAGGCUGUAUGAAAGCCAUAAUGGUGGUAAAUGAGCAUUUUAUCUCUUAAUCUUGAUAUUGAAAGAGUUAAAUUAACAACACAAUAAUGGUAGCACAUUACUAAUCUAAAUAUCUUUAUGCUCCUGCACAUGACAUUUUGCAGGACAUGCUUGUGGCUUCUGUGGACACUUCAGCAACUAUGAUUGACUGGGCAUUCUCAGAACUGAUAAAAAAUCCACGGGUUAUGAAGAAACUGCAAAAAGAACUAGAAGAAGUAGUGGGAAAGCAAAGGAUGGUGGAGGAAUCAGACUUGGAGAGGUUGGAGUACCUAGACAUGGUUGUGAAGGAAACCUUGCGGCUCCAUCCAGCGGGUCCUCUGAUGAUCCCUCAUGAGGCCACGGAGGACUGCGUUGUGAAUGGCUUCCACAUACCAAAGAAAUCACAUGUUAUAAUCAAUGUAUGGGCCAUUGGUCGAGACCCAGAAGCUUGGACCGAUGCAGAAAAGUUUUACCCGGAGAGGUUUGUUGGCAGUGACAUAGAUGUUCGGGGCCGCGACUUCCAGCUUAUUCCUUUUGGCACUGGCCGCAGAAGCUGCCCUGGAAUGCAAUUAGGGCUGACUGUGGUGCGGCUGGUGGUUGCGCAGCUGCUGCAUUGCUUUGACUGGGAACUUCCAAAUGGAAUAUUGCCAUCUGAAGUGGACAUGACAGAAGAGUUUGGUCUCGUACUCUGCAGGUCCAAGCAUCUACUAGCUAUUCCUACAUAUCGCCUUAACAAAUGAAGCUAAAUGUGUCAGUGUCUUGUUUUAGAUCAAAAUAAUGUUCCUUCAGGGAUUCUGUGUGCUUUCUUGUUCAUCACACUCUUUAAAGGAUUUUACCAUCUUUUUAAGAGCAAAUAAACGAGGUAUAUGCCAUUUCUUUUGGAAAACUAGAUAAUUUAUUCUCUGUCCGACCGAUGGAAGAAGAAAACAUAUAAAAGCACCGUUAGACUUGAUGACUUUGUUUAUACAUAGCACUAGCGAUUCAUAGACACAGCAUGAUCGUUUGCUUUAUGCAUAACAAGUGUUAAUAAAUCAGAAGCAAAUCUAGCUGUUUCUCAACUAGGUGUGACUAUGGCCUCCAAAACCAAGGUCAUAGAAAGCAUGAAAAACAGAAGAGUUUAAUAUUUUAUUAAAUAAAUAUUGAAUGAUAAAAUAAAAAAAAAAUUAUUUAAAAAAAAUGAUAAAAAACUAAAACAAUCUUAAGCAAAUCUCAUGAAAGUUCAAACCAAUUACAAAUUAAAUCGGGUAAAAAAAUACUGCUUUUGAAAAUUUUGCAAAGCAAAAAUAUACUAAUUAAAAGAAUAAGAAUGAAAUCUAUCAGGAAAAAAAUUUAUGGAGGGUGAAUCGAAAAAAAAAACGCAACUCGAAAAAUUAUAUUAGACUACAAAAAACAACAAUAAAAAGAAUAGAGAUCAAAUUUGACAAAAACAAAAAAUUAAAUGAGGAUGAAAUCGAAAGAAAAAUAUAAUUCAAUAAAUUAUUUCAAAAAAAAUAUAAUAAAAAAGAAAGGACUAAAUAAAAAAGAAAUAGAUGUUUAAAGGUUGACUUGAAAAAUUAGAUGGCAGGGCGCAAACACCGAGAAAAAGAAAGGAAAGAAAGAAGAAAAAAAAGAAAUGAUGGACGGUGACAAAUUUGACCUCUUAUCAGUGGACAUAAAACAUAUUCAGUGAGGAAACACUGAGACAAAGCUGAAGCCAUCUUUAAAGAGCUUUUUUGGCCUUGGAAUUUCAGCCUCACAUCUUGUUCGAAGAUGGCCGAGCAGCCGUGUCUAUUUUUUUUUACUUAUUAAAAUGCUCAAAUGACCACACCCCAACCAAUAUAUAUAUAUAUAGAGAAACAAAUAAUGAAAUGACACAAUUAAAUACUUUUUAACCUAAGAGCUAAAUUAUAUGAUAUCAAGGAUGCCAAUGUCUUUUUACCAUGCCACAAUAUUGAUAAUAAUGAAAAGGCCUUUAUAUAGUUUUUUAUUUUAUUUUAUUACAGGAGUAAAAAUGUUAUUUUACUAUAUAUUUUUAAUUGAAAAUGAAAAAAUAAGUAGAAGCUUAAAAUUUUAUUUCUUAUAAGUGUAGUGUUAUAAAUUCACUGUAAAACUAAACACAAAAUACAUGUACUGUCUCUAAUCAAUUAUAAAACACCAAAUUAUCACAAUACAAAAACUAUUUUACCCUCAAACACAUCAUAAAGAGCUUUUUUUUUUUUUUAAGGCCAAGAAGGAGAAUUAUUGUUCCUCUUCACAAUGAACUGUAACUUUGUUUUCUCCAUCUUUUUAGUUUUUUUUAGAAAAAGUAAGGGUUUGUUGGUAAAUAACCAUAAGUUCUUGGGAACUUUUGAGAAAUAAAAUAAACGAAAAGAAAAAAAGGUGAAUUCUUAAGGAAGUGGAACCUUUUGAUCUCGAGUCAGACCAACGACCAUUGUUCAAUGGGUACACUUCGAGAUUAUUUUUCUAAAUUAAAUUUUAGAACCUGACUUGUUAAUUAAAACACCACUAAACUGAUCUUUCAUUAUAUUUUAUAUAUUCUUAAAUUUUUUAUUUGAUUCUUUAUACAAUCGGAGAGGCAUCAUGGAAUCAGGCUGCGAGACACAUGAUUUCAAAAAUAGGUGCUCGGACAAAAAGGGCCUGGUGGUGCUCCCUCUCCCUCCUUGUGCUUCACGCGUGUGGAAUACGUUGAUGACCUGUAUAUCUGCUCUGCGGGCUGGCAUGCCAGUUGUCAUACAGACAUUAUUGUUUUCAGCCUGCAACAGCAAGGAGGAUAAGAUGUAAGGAAAAAAAAUAAAAUCCAGGAAGCCCAAAUAAUAUUAAAUUAGAUGAACAUCAAUUUAAUUUAACUUAAACAAAGAAAAAGAAAUGGAAAGGUGUUGGUGGUUAUCUGUGCCGACAAAUCUAGAUUUCCGAAAGCUUACGGCACUUUUGCUACUUUGCACUUAAUUUUAGUCUUUAAUGCUAAAUAAAAUACAGAACUCUGAGACAACAAGGAAAAUAAAUAAUAAUACGUUCAAGAAUUUACGUGGUUGACUAAAAAUUAGAUUAAUUUGCUUACGAGAAAAAAUUUACUAUAUAAUAUAAAAAUCAGAAUAAUAUUUUAUUAAUAGAAAAACAAUUAAUAAUUUCUCUUCUAAUAAAAGUAAACAUUCUAGAGCUUCUCUCACAAAUAUCUCAUAUAUUUCAUUGGAUUACUCUCCUUUUGUCUCUCCUAAACGGUGUGUUUUGAAAGGCAUGAGAUGCAACCUAACCUAUUUAUUGUUGGCUGGGCAUCCCAUCCUUCUCCACAGAAAGAAAUGGGGCGCACCGUUUCUAAUUGUUGGUCGACUCUCGGUGCAUUAAAUGUUGGAUAAUAUCAAUUAGCUUUUGUAUUUUUGUCAGAGGCAGCGCAGGCUCGAAAUUACUGAAUUAUAAUCCUUUUUCUCUACUCUAACGUGUGAAAACAUUACUGAAUUAUAAUUCUUUCAGGCUUCGAUUCCUAAGUCACAAUAUCCAAGUAAAUAAAAGGGUAGAGAUUUUAUACACUUCAAGAACAGCAAGUUAUAGAAUCACAGAUCCAUGGCUUGGAUUUGGACUUCUCUAGCUAGCCUUUGUCGCACUUAUCUUUCUGCUCCGGUGGUUAAGCACCGAGAAUAGGAGACUACCGCCUGGUCCAAGAGGGUUUCCAAUUUUUGGAAGUCUUCAUUUGUUAGGGAAGUUCCCUCAUCGAGCUCUUCAUCAGCUUGCUC